rnacentral:misc_RNA from 1 species
AUAAAAAUUGUCAAGUGGCUUCGGCUGCUGGACAACACUUUUUGCCCGCAAGGGCUUAAUGUGUCCACCCUUUGUGAAACUUCUUAUUUUUGCUUCGGCAGCACUCCCAGUGGGUCACACCACUGGUGGGGUAAGGCUGUCAGAAGACCCCAACAAAAACUAGUUUGAUGAAAUGUCAUGCAGUCUGAUAACUACUAUUUGAGAAAUCAAAUUACGUUA